rnacentral:rRNA from 1 species
GCACGACGAGGGCUUAUUACUGUCUCCUCUCCCUAGUCAAUGAAAUUGAUCCCCCCGUGCAGAAGCGGGGAUAAUAACAUAAGACGAGAAGACCCUGUGGAGCUUUAGACUAUAAGCAGACCAUGUCAAGAAUAACAAACAAGUAAAUUAAACAAAUUGGCCCCUGCUUCUCUGUCUUUGGUUGGGGCGACCGCGGGAUAAUAAAAAACUCCCACGAGGACUGAGAACCCUUAUCUUAUAACCAAGAGCUUCUCCUCUAAGUAACAGAACAUCUGACCUUAAUGAUCCGGCCUGGCCGAUCAACGGACCGAGUUACCCCAGGGAUAACAGCGCAAUCCUCUUUUAGAGUCCAUAUCGACAAGAGGGUUUACGACCU